ensembl:lncRNA
GAUUGUAUAAGCAUCAAAGUUAAAGAGAGGAGGUGAAGUGGGUGUCUUUACGUCCAAAAAUUGCCCCAGCUUUAAGAAUACACCAUGAUGAAGUGUUAUGCAUCCUAAGAGGCAUUGCAAGCAGAUAGUCCCAGAUUGUGUAGCUAGAGUGGUCCCUGACCCACAUCAUGCAUAGAGGCAACUCAAGAGGGACCCGUGGCUUGCCCCUUUGUGUCCCAUCUCAUUUAUCCAGCUGUGAGGUUUCGUUGCCAAGGCAACUCAGACACCCACUCUACAGGGUUCGGCUCACCCUUGCUGAGCAGGCACAUUGGUCAAGACCCACUAAAAGCGACCGAACAACAAAAGAGAGAGGGAAAGAAAGAGUAAGCUAAGUUUGGAAGGUCGUCCUGAAUCAAGAAGAGCAGCUGUAGACACCAGCAGCUGGAUUUCACUACCAUCCUAAUGCACAGCACCCUCUCAGACUGACGGGUUUUCACUGGCAGCAAACUGGCAGAGAGAAAGAGAGCUCACACAGGUGGGCCAGCAGCAGCAUCCCAGAGAUUAUAGAUUUGGAGAUUACAGGACAACAGCAGGUCAGGGCACACUGCCUUGUUGAAAUCCGAGUUCUCCACCUCACCAAUUCCAUUAAGAGCUGUCAUCGUGAAAUUGGCAAGCAAGCCCUGCGACACAACACAUUCACAUGCACUCGGCUGAUCACGUACUCCACUAGCUGCUAGACAGAUGCAGUGUUAGAAGAAAAUUGGAUGCUGUUUUUGUUUGCCUUUUUCUUUAAUCCAGCUCCUUGCCGCUCAAAUCCCUUUUUGUGCUUGAGCUGUUAGAUUCUUUCAAUCAUCUUUGUUGCUUAUUUUUAUUUGGUUAAUUUUUAUUAUCCACUGACCUGGAGAGAGUCAAAGUGCUCAAAUUAUCAAACCAUGAUGGCAGAAUAUCCUAAAGUGCUUAUCUAGACUGGAAUGUUCAAACCACACAGUUAGGAAGGGAAACUGUUGGAACCAGAGGUUCCUCAUAUUUGAAUCUUCAAGCUGCUUUCAUUGAAGACACCAUAAAGACCAAGGGACAAACGCAGUGGCAUGUCUCCACACUUAAAGUAACUCACAGGAUACGCAACUACCGCUACAUGAAUGAGACUGAAAGAAUUUGAAGAGUGUUGUAGAAUGUAAAGCUAUUCAAGAUGUCUGCAAAAGAGCUUCAUUACAAGACUGGGAGAAAACUCCACCCAUUUCCACCUCUGGUUGCGAAGUUCGACAAGGUGGCUCGCUAGACAGAGCGUACGGCUACGGACAAACUGGAUUACAGUGACAAACUUGGACUCAUAGAGGACUGUAAUAGAACAGACACGGUUGACAGCCUAGCUUGUCUGGCACUGAGAUGUCAAAACCACAGAGGGGGCUAUUCCUCCAACUGUCACUGCAAGGAGAAUAGAGCCGAUCACACACACGCCUACUAGCAGACUGAUUUUUAGAGCCGAAAGACUGGUGUGUGUUUGAACCGUGGCAGUAUAGACAGUUCAAAAGCGUGAAAGAAAGAGCUGGAGGAGAUCCCAUAGUGUAGGGGGAAGAGAGCGAAAAUAAAGAGCGGUAAAAGUCUCCACGGCAGCGGUGACACAUUGAAAGAGAAGACUGUGACAGACUGGAGAUCAUCGGUGGCAGUUCACAGGCGCACAGUUUUGUGAGAUUCACACACUUUUGGGAUUAAAGCCUGUGUCGCUCAGUACACCGAGUAGUACUGAGUCCAGUUUGGUCACGGUGGCAGGGGCCGGUU